rnacentral:rRNA from 1 species
AUGAACGCUAGCUACAGGCUUAACACAUGCAAGUCGAGGGGCAGCAUGGUCUUAGCUUGCUAAGGCCGAUGGCGACCGGCGCACGGGUGAGUAACACGUAUCCAACCUGCCGUCUACUCUUGGACAGCCUUCUGAAAGGAAGAUUAAUACAAGAUGGCAUCAUGAGUCCGCAUGUUCACAUGAUUAAAGGUAUUCCGGUAGACGAUGGGGAUGCGUUCCAUUAGAUAGUAGGCGGGGUAACGGCCCACCUAGUCUUCGAUGGAUAGGGGUUCUGAGAGGAAGGUCCCCCACAUUGGAACUGAGACACGGUCCAAACUCCUACGGGAGGCAGCAGUGAGGAAUAUUGGUCAAUGGGCGAGAGCCUGAACCAGCCAAGUAGCGUGAAGGAUGACUGCCCUAUGGGUUGUAAACUUCUUUUAUAAAGGAAUAAAGUCGGGUAUGGAUACCCGUUUGCAUGUACUUUAUGAAUAAGGAUCGGCUAACUCCGUGCCAGCAGCCGCGGUAAUACGGAGGAUCCGAGCGUUAUCCGGAUUUAUUGGGUUUAAAGGGAGCGUAGAUGGAUGUUUAAGUCAGUUGUGAAAGUUUGCGGCUCAACCGUAAAAUUGCAGUUGAUACUGGAUAUCUUGAGUGCAGUUGAGGCAGGCGGAAUUCGUGGUGUAGCGGUGAAAUGCUUAGAUAUCACGAAGAACUCCGAUUGCGAAGGCAGCCUGCUAAGCUGCAACUGACAUUGAGGCUCGAAAAUGUGGGUAUCAAACAGGAUUAGAUACCCUGGUAGUCCACACGGUAAACGAUGAAUACUCGCUGUUUGCGAUAUACUGCAAGCGGCCAAGCGAAAGCGUUAAGUAUUCCACCUGGGGAGUACGCCGGCAACGGUGAAACUCAAAGGAAUUGACGGGGGCCCGCACAAGCGGAGGAACAUGUGGUUUAAUUCGAUGAUACGCGAGGAACCUUACCCGGGCUUAAAUUGCAGAUGAAUUACGGUGAAAGCCGUAAGCCGCAAGGCAUCUGUGAAGGUGCUGCAUGGUUGUCGUCAGCUCGUGCCGUGAGGUGUCGGCUUAAGUGCCAUAACGAGCGCAACCCUUGUUGUCAGUUACUAACAGGUUCCGCUGAGGACUCUGACAAGACUGCCAUCGUAAGAUGUGAGGAAGGUGGGGAUGACGUCAAAUCAGCACGGCCCUUACGUCCGGGGCUACACACGUGUUACAAUGGGGGGUACAGAGGGCCGCUACCACGCGAGUGGAUGCCAAUCCCCAAAACCUCUCUCAGUUCGGACUGGAGUCUGCAACCCGACUCCACGAAGCUGGAUUCGCUAGUAAUCGCGCAUCAGCCACGGCGCGGUGAAUACGUUCCCGGGCCUUGUACACACCGCCCGUCAAGCCAUGGGAGCCGGGGGUACCUGAAGUGCGUAACCGCGAGGAGCGCCCUAGGGUAAAACUGGUGACUGGGGCU